GACGAACCGUGCGAACGUUGUUCGGAUUCACUGGGCUUAAAGGGCGCGUAGGCGGUCGACCAAGUCUGGGGUGAAAUCUUUCGGCUCAACCGGAAAAGUGCCCCCGAUACUGGCCGGCUAGAGGGAGAUAGGGGCAUGUGGAACUUCCGGUGGAGCGGUGAAAUGCGUAGAUAUCGGAAGGAACGCCGGUGGCGAAAGCGACGUGCUGGAUCUCUUCUGACGCUGAGGCGCGAAAUCCAGGGGAGCAAACGGG
rnacentral:rRNA from 1 species